UAGAGCUAAUACAUGCUGUUCUGCCCGACUUACGAAGGGCCGUAUUUAUUAGAUAUCAGCCAAUAAGCAUCCGCUAUUGUGGUGACUCAUAGUAACUUAAUCGGAUCGCAUGGGCUCGUCCCGCGACAAACCAUUCAAGUUUCUGCCCCAUCAUGCUUUCGAUGGUAGUGUAUUGGACUACCAUGGCUUUCACGGGUAACGGAGGAUUAGGGUUCGAUUCCGGAGAGGGAGCCUGAGAAACGGCUACCACUUCCACGGAAGGCAGCAGGCGCGUAAAUUACCCAAUCCUAAUUCAGGGAGGUAGUG
rnacentral:rRNA from 1 species